AACUCCUAGAACACAUCAAGUUAACACAAGAUUGAAUUUUUUUUGGGACAUUUCCCAUCUGCAGGACGCAAUGUAUUAUAUACUGGCAGAAUGAAGGAGGAAGUGGAAUAACAGACCAGCAUUGUGUCAAUAACUGAAGAACUAACCUGGGAUCUAUGAGGGCCCCCGUGGCAGCAGUGAAGAGCAGCACCACGCAGGAGCAGCAGAAGGCAGCUCCACUCUGCUUCUCCUUCUCCACCGAGUAGCGAGUCUCCAAGUCGGGGUCAACAAACCUCAGAGAGAGACGGUUGGUUUGGUUUCCCUUCGAACUGACGAGACAAGAAAACCUCACACCAAGCAUUUCAUAGUGCUCACAGUGUUGAAUACAUAACAUCAACAAAUUUUCACUUAAUUGUUUUUGAUCAGAGAAAUCAGGUGAUUUUUUUUGCGCUGAUCCUGAAUCUGCCCCGGUUUUUCUUCUCUAGCACAUCAGAUUUUUUGUGCCAACACUAUGAUUCAGGAGCAAAAAUCAUCGGAACCAGUGAAAAUAAAUAUAUUCAUGGGAUAUAAUUUGACAAUUUGAAAUGUGGCUAUUUUUACGUGAAAUUAAAAUUGUCAGCUGACGAAGUAUAAUGGUGACGAAACACAGAAACAGAAGUUAUUUGUUCUAAUUAGUCAAACCUUUUGUUUUUUUCACUCUGUAUUCCCGUCUAGGCUCUCUGUACAAGCUAACAGACAUAACCUUUAAACUAUGAAAGAAAACAUUUUUAACUCACGCUUGGACAGUUUCUCGCUCCAAUAGAGCCUCGUUCAGCAGUUUGUUGAGCUCCUGUUCAUUCUCUUGGGCAUCAAUCACCCUUUCAGCUAGGUCUCGCAGCCGUAGCCUUCGGCGAGGAUUUGGGAAAGAGGGGUUUACCACCUGCGGUUCCACAAAUCGCCAUCAUUAUCAAUGUCAUUUCAUUCGUCUUUCUAACACAUUGCUCAAGAAGAAAGAAACACACACUGUAAGUUCGCGACAAAAUCUCAACUGUCACCAAAAUUAACGGAAUGUAUCAUGUAUAAUGACAUAUGGCUCCAUGAUAUACAUAUUACUAUAUUAUUAUUGUUUGUUUUUGAAACAUCUGUACUGUAGUCUGAUCUGAGUGAUUACGAAUGUUUACCCUUGUGUCAAGUUCUUCAGGUUCCUCUGGUGUGGAGCAGGCUGUAUUCACACUGCCAUUACAUUCUGUGGUGUUGAUCAGCAGAGGGGAGUUUCCAUUGGACGAAGUUACAGAUAAUUUCUAAUGGGGAAACAGUCAACAGUGAAAAAAUGGAAUUGGCCUCACCAAUUCCUGUAAAUGUUUCGGAGUGGGCUUUUCCUGAAUAUGAGUCAAUACUGUGUGUGUUCCAACUCACUACACUGUUGAUGCCGUUUUUUCCCCCGGGUCCUUUGUUUACGACGACUAGGUAGGUCUCAAGUCCUCUCUCCCUCAGGUAGUCACAGCGCUCACCUCCAUUCCCUGGUUCAACUUCAAACUCUCCAUGAAGACACUCCAUGGUGGUUUGUGAGAUGUGGACACGACUAGGCCACACCAAAAAGAGGAAUAGGAGGGUUAGGGUUAUUUGGAAGAAAUAGGGUAAGGGGUUUAUUAAAAGGCCUGCUUUGAGAGUGGACUGCUGCGCUAUUGAACCAUUGUGAAAAGUAGAGUACUGUUUAUCAUGCAUACACUCCUGAAUUAUAACAAGCCACCAGUCAGGUUUUUAGUGGCUAAACAUGAAUCAUACUUUUUAUAGAAUUUGGGCGUAGCUAAUCCAGUACGUUUAACAGAAGAGCAAUUAAAACAUGAAGACUUGACACAGAGAAGUAUUCCAAUUGCAAUCACUUAAGGUCCUCCCACUGCAGGUGUCUUAAAGGUACAUUCUUGAGAACCCAAUUCACAAUACCAAAAAAAAAAAUACAUCGUUAUAAAACCAAUAACCCUAUUGAAUCUGCUUAUGGCCGAAAUUUGAUUUGAACAGAGUCAGUAAUCUAGUGAUUUCUUUUUUUUUUUUUUUUGAUGCAGUGGAUGGCUAAAAGCAGAACCCGCUAAUGCAUUGCCAAAUUAACAAUCCUGGUUAGUGGAAGCUAUUUGACUAUUAUUUAUUUAUCGAAAUGGUGCAGAUUACGUAUGUUAGGCCGAGGCCUCGCCUGUGAUCGUCUGAGUGCCAUUCUUGAUUUUUAAAGGCAACUACAGUGUGUUCUUACCCUGGAAUCCCUCCAGCCUCCAUCUUGUUGGCUACAGUGACAUCAGUGGACCACACGUCGUAUUGCCAACGUUUCUGACCAAGCACUCCCCCCAAGACUGUCCCGCUGUGCACUCCAACGCGCAUGUCAACAUCAGUUUGGGUUUUCUCACGCACAUACCUAGUGUUUGUGCACACAUACACUGAAUUAAAUCAAUGCAAGGUCGACGGAGCAACAAUAAAAACAAGUCAUUUCUCUCUCUCUCGCUCUUGCGCGCUAAUGCACUUUCUUUCAUGACUGCACAAAAAUCUAUAUUAGUCUGUUGGAGCAAUCAAUUUCCCACUGAGCAUGUGACUGACCACCAUGUAAUCAGUGAUUGACUUCUGGCAACUUGAACUACAGCUCUGCUGUAUACUCACGAGAUGGCCUCAACCAUGGCGAGGCCCAUCAUGAUGGAGCAGGCAGCAUGGUCCUCCCUGUAGUCUGGCAGCCCACAAAUACAGUAGUAACAGUCUCCUAGGAUUUUGAUCCUCAGCUGGUGAUAUUUCUGAAAAAGUAUUUGGGGUCAGAGAAUGAUACAAUUGAUGCUGCUGCAUGAUAUUAGCCUAAUAGUUACUUUCUAAAACAUUAGAAGUUGAAAUGAAUGUUAGAUACCUAUUUAGUUUUACUCUGAUUACUUUUACCGAGAGCAAACACUUAGUUAAAAUACACCUUACAGAAACCCAGGAAUUUUGUAUGAAUUAUAAAACUAUUGUCAAAAACAAGAGUGGAGGUGUACAACCGGGAUUUACUCACUGCAGCUAGUUUGUCAAAUCGAGCAAAGAGUUCAUUGAGCAGCUUGACCAGCUCCUGAGCGCUGCAUGAUGAUGACAACUGGGUAAAACCCACAAUGUCGGCAAACAAAAUACUGUACAAGAGAUCAAAACAAAGCAGUUAGUUACACAUUCACUUGAAAUGUGAUGGAAAAACUGUAAAUGUCAGUGUACCAUGCAGUAGUUGAUAAAAUUGAAAACUGAUCAUCAACCUGCCGUUUGAAGUAGGGUCGGUGAAAUUCACUAAUUGUUUUGUUGGUUUUGCUAUCAUGAUGGACUCAUUUGGUAAAUUAUUUCUAAGUUGAUUUAUUUUUCAUAUUUUAAGACCUGUAUUUGAAAUAGUAUAAUUAUUCUUAUCAUUUGUUGACAUGUUUUGAGAAUUCGGAAAGGUUCAUUUUACAACUAAGGCCUUGAUUUUAGAUUCAUGGAUUCAAUGGCUGACAUUUCCAGGUCCCAUUUGACAUUACCUGACAUUUUCAUGUCUGUACAUGUACAUAGUGUUAAACUGUUGCAUCUC